rnacentral:lncRNA from 1 species
GGGACUGGUGGUGGAAUAAAGAAGUGAAGAAGAAAGUAGAGUUUAAGAAGGGGGCGUAUGUUAAGUUGAUUGAGAGUAAAGAUGAAGAGGAGAAGCGGGAGAAUAGGGAGGUUUACAAAGUAGCAAGGAAGGAGGCUAAGUUAGCAGUUAUGGCUGCUAAGUCAGCAGCGUUCGAGAGCUUGUAUGCGGGGUUAGAUGAGAAAG